rnacentral:rRNA from 1 species
GAUGAACGCUGGCGGUGUGCCUAAUACAUGCAAGUCGAGCGAACGGACGAGAAGCUUGCUUCUCUGAUGUUAGCGGCGGACGGGUGAGUAACACGUGGAUAACCUACCUAUAAGACUGGGAUAACUUCGGGAAACCGGAGCUAAUACCGGAUAAUAUUUUGAACCGCAUGGUUCAAAAGUGAAAGACGGUCUUGCUGUCACUUUUAGAUGGAUCCGCGCUGCAUUAGCUAGUUGGUAAGGUAACGGCUUACCAAGGCAACGAUGCAUAGCCGACCUGAGAGGGUGAUCGGCCACACUGGAACUGAGACACGGUCCAGACUCUUACGGGAGGCAGCAGUAGGGAAUCUUCCGCAAUGGGCGAAAGCCUGACGGAGCAACGCCGCGUGAGUGAUGAAGGUCUUCGGAUCGUAAAACUCUGUUAUUAGGGAAGAACAUAUGUGUAAGUAACUGUGCACAUCUUGACGGUACCUAAUCAGAAAGCCACGGCUAACUACGUG